GGUGAAGGCUUGACCUCAAAUCAGGUAGGACUACCACGCUGAACUUAAGCAUAUCAAUA
rnacentral:rRNA from 1 species